CUUUACUAUAGUUUAGCAUAGUCUUUGAGUAAUGUAUGUGUAGGAUAGGUGGGAGGCAGAGAAGUGGUCGCGCUAGCGAUUGUGGAGCUGCCGUUGAAAUACCACCCUUACCUUACUUAGAGACUAACCACGAGGAGUGGGACGGUGCUAGAUGGGUAGUUUGACUGGGGUGGUCGCCUCCUAAAGAGUAACGGAGGCUUCCAAAGGUACCCUCAGCACGCUUGGUAACCGUGCGUAGAGCAUAUAAGUAGAAGGGUGCUUGACUGAGAGACAAACAAGUCGAACAGGGACGAAAGUCGGAUUAAGUGAUCCGGUGGUUCUAAAUGGAAGGGCCAUCGCUCAAAGGAUAAAAGGUA
rnacentral:rRNA from 1 species